UUACUUACUGGCAGGGGAGAAGAUUACAUGAUCAAGGAAGGUGGUCAACCAGGGCGAGGGCUAACAAUUGCACUCGGUUAUGCUGGACCCCCUGCGAAGCCACAAAUGUGGGAAUCUCGGACUGCAAAUUGGUUGGUAGUGGGGGACUGCGUUAGCGCUCCUCCCAC